rnacentral:rRNA from 1 species
CUACGGGGUGCACCAGUCGAGAAUCUUGGGCAAUGGGCGAAAGCCUGACCCAGCGACGCCGCGUGCUUGAAGAAGCUCUUCGGAGUGUAAAAAGCUUUUCCGGAGGAAGAACCUUCGGGUGACAUUACUCCGGGAAUAAGGGGCGCCUAAUCACGUGCCAGAAGGCUCGGUAAGACGUGAGCCCCGAACGUUAUCCGGAUUUAUUGGGCGUAAAGAGCCUUAAGGCGCCCUGUCAGGUUUCCUGUCAAAUCUUUGAUGCUUAACGUCAAAGUCGCGGGAAAAACCGAUGGGGUUGAGGACGUUAGAGGCCAGCGGAACGGCCGGUGUAGGGGUGAAAUCCGUUGAUAUCGGCCGGAACACCAAAAGCGAAGGCAGCUGGCUGGGGCGUUCCUGACGCUGUACGGCGAAAGCCAGGGUAGGGAAAAGGAUUAGAUACCCGAGUAGUC